UACGUAGGGGGCAAGCGUUGUCCGGAUUUAUUGGGCGUAAAGAGCUCGUAGGCGGUUCGGUAAGUCAGGUGUGAAAUCUCCACGCUCAACGUGGAGGCGCCACCUGAAACUGCCGUGACUCGAGUCCGGUAGGGGAGUGUGGAAUUCCUGGUGUAGCGGUGAAAUGCGCAGAUAUCAGGAGGAACACCAGUGGCGAAGGCGGCACUCUGGGCCGGUACUGACGCUGAGGCACGAAGGCCAGGGGAGCAAACGGG
rnacentral:rRNA from 1 species